AAACAACUUAUUUAUUGGCUAUAUCUUUUAAACAAGUGCAUAUUUCUCCCAACACAUGACGAAUUUGUCCCAGCUCUCUUGCAACCUCGUGUACUGCAGCAAGUGUGUCCCUCUGAUUCUGCAGGACUGCAUCUGUGAGGACACGGCCGCUGCUGGAGGGCUGCGCAGGAGGUGCUGUGGAGACGCCGGGCCCGGGGCUCGAGGCACGAGGUGCCGUGCCCGUGGAGGCAGGAGGUGCCGUGCCCGUGGAGGCAGCGGGGCUCGAGGCACGAGGUGCCGUGCCCGUGGAGGCAGCGGGGCUCGAGGCACGAGGUGCCGUGCCCGUGGAGGCAGGAGGUGCCGUGCCCGUGGAGGCAGCGGGGCUCGAGGCACGAGGUUCCUCGCGAGGUCCUCCUACCCUGGUGGAACCAGCAUCUUGUUAAUUCUUUUUUCUUAAUAAAGUUAUGAUUUGUUUUUCGAAAUACA